UGGGGGCCCCCCAUUGGAUGUGGCCCAUUUGGAGGCUGAACAAAUCA
ncrna:unclassified sequences eL15-Euryarchaeota ribosomal protein leader